AGAUACCCGCGUAGUCCUAGCCGUAAACGAUACUCGCUAGGUGUCGGCCACGGUGCGACCGUUGUCGGUGCCGUAGGGAAGCCGUGAAGCGAGCCACCUGGGAAGUACGGCCGCAAGGCUGAAACUUAAAGGAAUUGGCGGGGGAGCACCACAACGGGUGGAGCUUGCGGUUUAAUUGGAUUCAACGCCGGGAAUCUUACCGGGACCGACAGCAACAUGAAGGCCAAGCUGAAGACUUUGCCGGAUUAGCUG
rnacentral:rRNA from 1 species